rnacentral:rRNA from 1 species
AGCGGCGGACGGGUGAGUAAUGCCUAGGAAAUUGCCCUGAUGUGGGGGAUAACCAUUGGAAACGAUGGCUAAUACCGCAUAAUGCCUACGGGCCAAAGAGGGGGACCUUCGGGCCUCUCGCGUCAGGAUAUGCCUAGGUGGGAUUAGCUAGUUGGUGAGGUAAUGGCUCACCAAGGCGACGAUCCCUAGCUGGUCUGAGAGGAUGAUCAGCCACACUGGAACUGAGACACGGUCCAGACUCCUACGGGAGGCAGCAGUGGGGAAUAUUGCACAAUGGGCGCAAGCCUGAUGCAGCCAUGCCGCGUGUGUGAAGAAGGCCUUCGGGUUGUAAAGCACUUUCAGUCGUGAGGAAGGUGGUAGUGUUAAUAGCACUAUCAUUUGACGUUAGCGACAGAAGAAGCACCGGCUAACUCCGUGCCAGCAGCCGCGGUAAUACGGAGGGUGCGAGCGUUAAUCGGAAUUACUGGGCGUAAAGCGCAUGCAGGUGGUUUGUUAAGUCAGAUGUGAAAGCCCGGGGCUCAACCUCGGAAUAGCAUUUGAAACUGGCAGACUAGAGUACUGUAGAGGGGGGUAGAAUUUCAGGUGUAGCGGUGAAAUGCGUAGAGAUCUGAAGGAAUACCGGUGGCGAAGGCGGCCCCCUGGACAGAUACUGA